GGGAAUAAAGGUGGACCUUGUCCGAAGCCCCGACAAAAUGUUAAUGAAGUCAGAGAAAGUAGAAAAAAUAAAAUACCCCGACUAAGACUACAAGUCGGUGGCACACAUUUUUUUGCCCUUUUGGAUAGCGGUGCGGGUAGAAGCUUGAUAAAAACGGAAAUUUUGCAACGAAUUGGAAAUCAAAUCAAAAACUAUAGUACUGAUGCCCCGGUAGAACUCUUUGGUGUGGACAACACUAGACUUAGAACAAGAGGGACAGUUACCCUCGAAAUGAAUGUAUUAGGCGAUGAUCUUCUGCAGGAUUUCAUUGUCGUGGAUAGCAUCAACGAAGAUUGUAUCUUAGGUUUAGACGCUUUAUAUGAGCACAAAUUUAUUAUAGAUGGGAGCGAGAGAACAAUAUACCGGGUCAAAGAAGACACGGCCUCUUCGCCAGCCAUAAUCACAAGACAGAGGAUCACGAUCAUGCCCUUUAGCGCCACUGUCGUUGAAUCCGAAGGGGAAGGCGGAAAACUUCCUCUGAAUAUCACAUGUUAUUUAGAAAGAGGGCCGGGAUUACACAGCGGGUUACGAGUGGACCCCUUCGUCUGCAGUGUUAACGAUUUGACAGUUUUCUCCGUAGUUUUAAUUAACGAAACCAACUAACCGAUAACCAUACCAAAAUUCCAAGUAAUUGGAAGAAUGGAAUUCGGAAGAACAGAAAAAGAGUGCAUUAACUUUUGUGGGACAGAAGAACAAUCUUCUAUCGAAUUAGAUUUUAGUGAAAACUUACCUCCAGUAAUGGCAGAAGCAGACCGAACUUCUUUGAUUAAAUUUUGAAAAAAUAAAUCUUCAAUGUUCGCAUCUAAAGCAGAUGAAUUAGGAAAAACAGGACUAGUUAAACACCACAUUAACACGGAAGGACAAGGACCCAUACGAUUAAGACCCUAUCGGAUUCACAACAACAAUAAAAAAGAAUUAGAAAGUAUUUUGCAAGAGUUAUUAGUUAAUAGAAUAAUAAAGCCGUCCGUGUCCCCAUGG